GCGACGGGUGAGUAAUAUAUCGGAACAUAUCCGGAAGUGGGGGAUAACGUAGCGAAAGUUACGCUAAUACCGCAUAUGCCCUGAGGGGGAAAGGAGGGGAUUCGCAAGAACCUUUCGCUUUCGGAGUGGCCGAUAUCGGAUUAGCUAGUAGGUGAGGUAAAGGCUCACCUAGGCGACGAUCCGUAGCGGGUCUGAGAGGACGACCCGCCACACUGGAACUGAGACACGGUCCAGACUCCUACGGGAGGCAGCAGUGGGGAAUUUUGGACAAUGGGCGCAAGCCUGAUCCAGCCAUACCGCGUGAGUGAAGAAGGCCUUCGGGUUGUAAAGCUCUUUCAGCCGGAAAGAAAUCGCAUUUAUUAAUACUAGAUGUGGAUGACGGUACCGGAAGAAGAAGCACCGGCUAACUACGUGCCAGCAGCCGCGGUAAUACGUAGGGUGCGAGCGUUAAUCGGAAUUACUGGGCGUAAAGCGUGCGCAGGCCGUUUCGUAAGACAGAUGUGAAAUCCCCGGGCUCAACCUGGGAACUGCAUUUGUGACUGCGAGACUAGAGUGUAGCAGAGGGGGGUAGAAUUCCACGUGUAGCAGUGAAAUGCGUAGAGAUGUGGAGGAAUACCAAUGGCGAAGGCAGCCCCCUGGGUUAACACUGACGCUCAUGCACGAAAGCGUGGGGAGCAAACAGGAUUAGAUACCCUGGUAGUCCACGCCCUAAACGAUGUCAACUAGGUGUUGGGGAAGGAGACUUCUUUAGUACCGCAGCUAACGCGUGAAGUUGACCGCCUGGGGAGUACGGUCGCAAGAUUAAAACUCAAAGGAAUUGACGGGGACCCGCACAAGCGGUGGAUUAUGUGGAUUAAUUCGAUGCAACGCGAAAAACCUUACCUACCCUUGACAUGUCAGAAAGAUUGCAGAGAUGUGAUUGUGCCCGAAAGGGAAUCUGA
rnacentral:rRNA from 1 species